ACAUGCGAGUCGAGAGUCGUAACGGACUCGGCGGACUGCUCAGUAACACGUGGAUAACAUGCCCUUAAGUGGAGGAUAAUCUCGGGAAAUUGAGGAUAAUACUCCAUAGAUCAUGAAAUCUGGAAUGAUUCAUGGUUCAAAGUUCCGGCGCUUAAGGAUUGGUCUGCGGCCUAUCAGGUAGUAGUGGGUGUAACGUACCUACUAGCCUAUGACGGGUAUGGGCCUUGAGAGAGGGAGCCCAGAGUUGGAUUCUGAGACACGAAUCCAGGCCCUACGGGGCGCAGCAGUCGCGAAAACUUCACACUGGGGGCAACCCCGAUGAGGGAAUUCCUAGUGCUAGCGCUUUUUGUGCUAGCUUUUCUUCAGUAUAGAUAGCUGGAGGAAUAAGGGCUGGGUAAGACGGGUGCCAGCCGCCGCGGUAAUACCUGCAGCCCAAGUGGUGGUCGAUUUUAUUGAGUCUAAAACGUUCGUAGCCGGUUUGAUAAAUCCUUGGGUAAAUCGGAGAGCUUAACUUUCCGACUUCCGAGGAGACUGUCAAACUUGGGACCGGGAGAGGCAAGAGGUACUUGAGGGGUAGGGGUAAAAUCCUGUAAUCCUUUAAGGACCACCGGUGGCGAAGGCGUCUUGCUAGAACGGAUCCGACGGUGAGGGACGAAGCCCUGGGUCGCAAACGGGAUUAGAUACCCCGGUAGUCCAGGGUGUAAACGCUGCAGACUUGGUGUUGGAGAUCCUUCGUGGGUAUUCAGUGCCGGAGAGAAGUUGUUAAGUCUGCUACUGGGGAGUAC
rnacentral:rRNA from 1 species